rnacentral:lncRNA from 1 species
GGGCCGGCCUGGUGGCACAGCGGUAGGUUCGCACGUUCUGCUUCUCGGCGGCCCGGGGUUCGCCAGUUCAGAUCCUGGGUGUGGACAUGGCACCACUUGGCAAGCCAUGCUGUGGUAGGCGUCUCACAUAUAACGUAGAGGAAGAUGGGCAUGGAUGUUAGCUCAGGGCCAGUCUUCCUCAGCAAAAAGAGGAGGAUUGGCAGUAGUUAGCUCAGGGCUAAUCUUCCUCAAAAAAAAAAAAAAAGAUAAUCAAGGUGAGAGAUGCUGGCAGCUCAGUCACAGUGGUGGCCCAGGAGCAGCUAAGAAGCGGCACGAUUCCAGUGUAUUCUGAGGAAAGGACCAGUAGGAUUUGCUGGUGAAUUGGAUGUGGGAUGUGAGUGAAGGAGACGAGUCGAAGAGGACUCCAAGAUUUUUGGCCUCAACACUGGGCUGCAGCAAUCAACAGGACAGACCGUAGCUUUCUCUCCUGCAGCUUACCUCCGAGGCAGAACUGACAUGUAUUUUCUUGUUUGGUCUUCCUAACAGUCCUAAGGAGACAAGGAAACAGUGAUGUCACCUGCCAAGGAUGCUGACUUCCAAACCCAGUCACCGUCCAGACGAACACUCCCUGCAUGGGGAAACUGAGGCGUAGAGAAAUUCAGGAAGAUUUCACAGGUGGGAAAGUGGGAAGACGACUCCUG